rnacentral:tRNA from 1 species
UGGUGCAACGGUAGCACACUCGGCCUGUAUUCGAGAUGUCCAGGUUCAAGUCCCGG